UACGUAGGGUGCAAGCGUUAUCCGGAAUUACUGGGCGUAAAGAGUUCGUAGGCGGAUUUUUAAGUCGAUUGUUAAAUAUGCAGGCUCAACUUGCAUGCUGCAGUCGAUACUGGAAGUCUUGAGAGUGGAAGAGGUAAGCGGAAUUCCUGGUGGAGCGGUAAAAUGCGUAGAUAUCAGGAGGAACACCAAUGGCGAAGGCAGCUUACUGGGCCAUUUCUGACGCUGAGGAACGAAAGCGUGGGGAGCGAUCGGG
rnacentral:rRNA from 1 species